rnacentral:rRNA from 1 species
AUUGAACGCUGGCGGCAGGCCUAACACAUGCAAGUCGAGCGGAGCGGCGGACGGGUGAGUAUUGCCUAGGAAUCUGCCUGGUAGUGGGGGAUAACGUCCGGAAACGGGCGCUAAUACCGCAUACUAUCAGAUGAGCCUAGGUCGGAUUAGCUAGUUGGUGGGGUAAAGGCCUACCAAGGCGACGAUCCGUAACUGGCCUGAGAGGAUGAUCAGUCACACUGGAACUGUAACACGGUCCAGACUCCUACGGGAGGCAGCAGUGGGGAAUAUUGGACAAGGGGCAAAAGCCGUAGCCAGCCAUGCCGCGUGUGUGAAGAGGGUUUUCGGAUUGUAAAGUACUUUAAGUUGGGAGGCGGUACCAAAAGAAUAAGCACCGGCUAACUUCGUGCCAGCAGCCGCGGUAAUUC